ACAGUACAAACUGAGCAGGUGGUGAAGUAAUGUUUUCACGAACCGGGCCAAGAGGCAGCAGAUAUUAACAUCUGUGGGACAGU
rnacentral:ncRNA from 1 species